rnacentral:rRNA from 1 species
UUAAAGGAAUUGACGGAGGGGCACCACCAGGAAUGGAGCCUGCGGCUUAAUUUGACUCAACACGGGAAAACUUACCCGGCCCGGACACAGGAAGGAUUGACAGAUUAAGAGCUCUUUCUUGAUUCUGUGGGUGGUGGUGCAUGGCCGUUCUUAGUUGGUGGAGCGAUUUGUCUGGUUAAUUCCGAUAACGAACGAGACUCUAGCCUACUAAAUAGACGUUCCGAUCCACUGCGUCGGACGUUCUUCUUAGAGGGACAAGCGGCGUUUAGCCGCACGAGACAGAGCAAUAACAGGUCAGUGAUGCCCUUAGAUGUUCGGGGCCGCACGCGCGCUACAUUGAAGGAAUCAGCGUGUGCUUUCCCUGUCCGACAGGACUGGGUAACCCGUUGAAACUCUUUCGUGCUGGGGAUAGGAAGUUGUAAUUCUCUUCCUUGAACGAGGAAUUCCCAGUAAGCGCGAGUCAUAAGCUCGCGUUGAUUAAGUCCCUGCCCCUUGUACACACCGCCCGUCGCUACUACCGAUUGAGCGAUUUAGUGAGGUCUUCGGACUGGCGCUCGGAGCGGCUUUCGGGUCGUGCCGGCGUGCCGGAAAGAUGACCGAACUUGACCGCUUAGAGGAAGUAAAAGUC